ACGACAGACAACGACACACGGAGCAAUAAGCAGCAGUGAAUGGUACGAAGAGACAUUGCGUACUCCUGGAAAUACAGAGUUUAUUUAUAGGAAUUCGUCCUCCGGUCGACUAUCAGCAAACGCCCAUAGAAGACAAGAA